rnacentral:rRNA from 1 species
GGGCCCGCACAAGCGGUGGAGUAUGUGGUUUAAUUCGAUGCAACGCGAAGAACCUUACCAGGGUUUGACAUCCUGCGAAUCUUUUGGAAACGAGAGAGUGCCUUCGGGAACGCAGUGACAGGUGGUGCAUGGCUGUCGUCAGCUCGUGUCGUGAGAUGUUGGGUUAAGUCCCGCAACGAGCGCAACCCACGUCUUUAGUUGCCAGCAUUUAGUUGGGCACUCUAGAGAGACUGCCGGUGAUAAACCGGAGGAAGGUGUGGAUGACGUCAAGUCAUCAUGCCCCUUACGUCCUGGGCUACACACGUACUACAAUGCUACGGACAAAGAGCAGCUAACUCGCGAGAGUACGCAAAUCUCAUAAACCGUGGCUCAGUUCAGAUCGUAGGCUGCAACUCGCCUACGUGAAGGAGGAAUCGCUAGUAAUCG